GCAAGACUCUGUCUCAAAAAUAAAAACAACCCCUCCCAUCAAAACAUUGUUUUUCGAAAACAGUAGAGACGGAGUUAUACUUCCAAAUAGCUUGCACUCAUUUUAAGCACUGGAAGUACUGUCCUGGGAAUCUUGUCAGGACUGAAAAUUCACCAGAAGAGAGAAAACAGAUUUGAUGUGUCCUCUUUCCAACCCAAGCUGCUUCCCAUGCUGUGAGCAUUAUCAGAGAAGGAGACAGAGGAGCCUGGUUUCUAGGCCUUUCUACAAGAGCGAAAUGUGCCUCUUCUUCCCUUAACCCCAGCAGCCCAUCUCUCAUCCACUUGAUGUCCUCUGAAACUGGAACCAAAUGCUCCACUUUGCAAAUCCCCACAAUUGCCAACCUCACCUGACAAGGCACCCUCAGAGAGACUGAUCCAAGAAUCUGAAGUCAAGCAUUUAUUUGAAAUCACUGAGUCAAAUACAAGUAAAUCCCCUUGCCCCAAUAAAGAGGAGCAGUUAUAUGACAGAGGUACAGAACACCAAAGACCAUACAUUUAUUUAUCAAAAGAGUGGCAACACUGGGGGCCGGGGACGACGGCUUACACCUGUAAUCCAAGCACUUUGGGAGGCUGAGGUGGGCAGAUCACUUGAAGUCAGGCGUUCGAGACCAGCCUGGCCAACAUGGUGAGACCCUGUCUCUAUUAAAAAUACAAGAAAUAGCCAUGCAUGGUGGUGCGUGCCUAUAAUUCCAGCUACUUGUGAAGCCGAGGCAUGAGAAUAGCUCAAACCUGGGAGGUGAAGGUUGCAGUGCGCUGAGAUCGUGCCAUUACACUCCAGCCUGAGUAACACAGCGAGAUUCCAUCUAAAAAAAAAAAAAAAAAAAAAAAAGAGUGGCAACACUGAGUAAGCCUGAAUUUGUUGUCCAAGAAGUCCAAUUACAAGGGUUAGUUCCCCAGGAGACUCUCAGAAGUGGGCUAAUCUGUCCAGCUACUGUUCCGGCUCUUCCAUAUUGGAUGUCUGUGGCUUAAGACACCUCUGAAAUGCCUAAUCAGUGCAAAACAAAAACAAAAGAAAACAAAGACAACUGCCACUAACAGAAACCAAUGCACAGGAGCAGGCUAUCCCUGUGUAUCAUUUUUCAUGAUCUGUAAUGUUGGGAUGUCCUCAUGUCUGAAAUUCUGCAGUUACGGAUUAAAUCUUGUUUCCUGGUAAAAAGUUGCCAUGCUGAAAAAGAAAAGGGAUACAUCGGAUCAUUUCCUUUUUCCCGGGCCUUGCCCUUGAGCUGAAGAAUGCUAUUUAUUAUUUUAUACUCCUCCUGACAUUGUCUUAUUGUCUUGCUGCACACAAUCUGUCCUCAAACUGAAUCUCCAAAUUUCCUGAUUCUUUUGAGUAACUCUGGUACGAAGACUUGAAAGACAGCUCAGCUAAGAGAAAAAUUCUCUAACCAAAAAGAAGAAGAAGGAGGAGGGGGAGUAAAGAAAGCAAAAGGAAAGACACUCAAGGCAAUUAAAACUUUAAUUUUUCAUGACUCACGUUUCUAUAAAUGUAAAUGACUAAUAGACACCAUGAAAUAUUAAUCAAGUCAGUAAUCCAGGAUUAUAUAUGAUGCCAAAUUGCUCCCUGUUGCCAGUGAAAAAGCUAUCAGGCAGCAAUUUCUGCAAAGAAACACAAGCUUCCAAAUGCCCCGACAGAGGAGUGAGAUCUCACUUGGUGCUUCAUUUUUCAUAAGGAACAGUCUUGGAUUGGAAGGCUGUGCUGUUCUCAAUCGCAGGACAAAAAGGAGAACGACACGGGAAGAUGCGGAACAGACCUACACGGAAAUCUAGCAGGGACUGUCAUCUGAUAUUGCAGAUGCUUUACCAGAGGGCCUGCUACUCACCAGGAUUAAACUCUGGGAGCGUAUGUGUUUACGCAUCAGGGGAUCAUAUUAGAGGGAAGGCCUUGCUGGGGACUAAACUUGUUUCAUUAGUUUCUUUUCUUCAGCAAAAUAGGUUACAGGCUAUGUCACAGUAGAGCAAAUGCUAUGAGUAGUGGCCUCUGGAAAGGGUGUUUUGGGGGUUCCUGGAAGUCACGGCAUAUGGCCUCCCUUCGCAGGUGCAGCUGUGCAGGAAGAAGAGAGAGCUCACCUGGAAGAUGGGAGCCAGUGACUCCGGUUCCCUGAUCAGAGCUCCCAGGACCAGCUUGAGCCCUGAGAAGAGGCUGAUCCCUGGAAGCUGACAUUUUGGGAGCAGAGACUGGGGCCUCAUGGUUGGCUUAGUGCUAAGGGUGCAUGAUUGUCUUCCCUAGAACUGCACCCAGGACAGUCUUCCCAGCCAGCAAAGGGUCAUCUCAUCAGGGGAUGAACAACACUGUCAUCCGGGAGCCAUCCUUCAGCAGUUACAUCAUGUGCCAGGGGAUGAGCACAGAACUGAACUGAUCGACUCUAGUUCUCUCUCCUAGUGGCAUGUGAAGGCUGAGCCAACCUACUACAGGUGGCCUAAGGGUCCCUGGACUUCCUAGACAAUGAAGGAUGGAGUGGGAUGAGAGCCUCAACAGGGAAAUACUGAUUUUCUGAUAAUGGGGAAUGUGGAAUGAACAAUUAUUUUGUGGCAGAAACUGUUAUCUGUGGACCCAGCAGCCUUUCUCUGCUAGAGCCCACCUCUCAUGACAGAGACUUAAAAUGCCAAGAACUUGCUCUCCCAGGCUGUCUUCAUAUGUAGUCCGGUUUUGGCCAAUGAGACCCUGAGAUAGUUUACUAGGAGCUUGAGGGAACAUUUUUUUGUCUCUUGAUAAAAAUAGAGGGCUAAACAAAGAGAACUUGCGUCUUUCUUCCUGUCUUGAACAUGGUUUGAGUGAAUACAUGACAUUUGGAGCUGUGGCAGCAAUAUUGUGACCAUGAGGAAAAGGCUGGGAGAAUCACACGAGAUUCUAACACACCCUCCAGGGCAGCAGAUGCUUCCAAAUGAGAAUGCCUGUUACCCUCAGGAGUGGAGGACAGAACAAAAGGUGGAAACUCAGCCCUGUUGCUCAAUGUGCUGUGGUGAGCACCCAGCUGCCACGCUUGCUGAGGCUGGCAGAGCACUUUGGGUCCUUGGUGACUCUCUGAGAGGCACUGGACAAAUUGAC
rnacentral:lncRNA from 1 species